AGUGAGACCACGGGAUCAGAGAAAUACUGAAUGAUGCCCAGCUAGGGUGGAGAGCUAAGGGAAGUGGCUGCUCUAUGGGCAGAACUUGCUGAUUGGCCCUGUUCAUGGGAGGAACCGCUGGAAAGGUCAAGCUUUGGGAAACCAUGUUGCUUAGACUGCCAGCCUUCUCCACUAUCCUCACAUGAGUCACUGUGAUGUUCUGGGAGGGUGGUGCCUGAAUAAGUAAUAGCUUCCCUCAGGAAAUCCAGACUGGGCUGGAAGUCCAAGAACUCUGGGUCACCUACAUAGGCUCUGAAUUGUAACCCAGCCCUGUUGUAGAGCACAGCCUCAGAAGGGAGGGCUACGAGUCCGCGUCAUUGACUGUGACAGAUUCUUUUCCAUCACAGCUUAUUUUGAACUGCCCAAAAUUAAUAUGGGUAAAUCUUUACUGGGAUAUAUCCAUGAGCUUUCUCCAUCCUCUCUCCCCCCAUUUUUUUCUCAGUGAACUUCGGUGAAAAAAUUAAAAUCGAUUCAAUGCCCUCUUGCUAUUGCCAUGCUGUUCUGUGAUUAAAUUUAAAAGGAUGUGUAAAAUUUCCUGCUGAGUUCUGUUUCAUAGGGCUAAUGACCUUUUCUAUAAGGGAACCCAGAAGUUACCUGACUUGACCAUGGAUAACCUCUCCAGCCUCAGUGCCUACCAGCUGAGAGGUGUUAGACUUAAGAAACUGGAGGUCCCCACCAGAUUCAGCAUUCUAACAUCUCCUUUUUGCUCCACAGAGCUCACCUCCUAAGCACUGGUUUUAUGCACUAAUGAGUCUGAAGCCCACUUUGCUCUGAAGCAAAAGGUUUGGCACGAUAUGAUCUAGGCAUAUCCCUUGACAGCUUUUUCCAGAAGGUGACAUUCUCUCCACAGCUUCGCACCAGAAGGUGCAUCAAAGUCACAUUUGUUGACCUGAUUUUACCAAAAGAAUCCAUUUUGUCUUGGGAAUAUUUUCCUCAUUAAAAAAAUUAUAGUUUUUAUUAAGGAAAAGAUAGGCAAUAUAGAAAAUUAUAAAGAAGGGAAUAAGAAAACCUCUCAAAGAUAGUAUUGUUAACAUUAUAACAUGUGUAUGUACCCUUGUGAUAAUUUUUCUUUGUGUGUAUAGUAAUUUGAUUUUUUAAAAAUAAUUGAUACAGAAUUGGAGUUAGGUCUCUCAAACUGUUUUUUUCAGCCUGCUUUUCUUUCCUAAUAAUAAAUAAUUAGCAUUUUUCUUUGUUACUAUCUAACAAUUCACAGAGGACUCUGGA
rnacentral:lncRNA from 1 species